GCCAGCAUAGCUCAGUCGGUAGAGCAACAGUUUCGUAAACUGUAGGUCAAGGGUUCGAUCCCCUUUGCUGGCU
rnacentral:tRNA from 3 species